GGGUUGUGAGGUUAAGCGACUAAGCGUACACGGUGGAUGCCCUGGCAGUCAGAGGCGAUGAAGGACGUGCUAAUCUGCGAUAAGCGUCGGUAAGGUGAUAUGAACCGUUAUAACCGGCGAUUUCCGAAUGGGGAAACCCAGUGUGAUUCGUCACACUAUCAUUAACUGAAUCCAUAGGUUAAUGAGGCGAACCGGGGGAACUGAAACAUCUAAGUACCCCGAGGAAAAGAAAUCAACCGAGAUUCCCCCAGUAGCGGCGAGCGAACGGGGAGCAGCCCAGAGCCUGAAUCAGUGUGUGUGUUAGUGGAAGCGUCUGGAAAGGCGUGCGAUACAGGGUGACAGCCCCGUACACAAAAAUGCACAUGCUGUGAGCUCGAUGAGUAGGGCGGGACACGUGGUAUCCUGUCUGAAUAUGGGGGGACCAUCCUCCAAGGCUAAAUACUCCUGACUGACCGAUAGUGAACCAGUACCGUGAGGGAAAGGCGAAAAGAACCCCGGCGAGGGGAGUGAAAAAGAACCUGAAACCGUGUACGUACAAGCAGUGGGAGCACAGAGCAAUCUGUGUGACUGCGUACCUUUUGUAUAAUGGGUCAGCGACUUAUAUUCUGUAGCAAGGUUAACCGAAUAGGGGAGCCGAAGGGAAACCGAGUCUUAACUGGGCGUUAAGUUGCAGGGUAUAGACCCGAAACCCGGUGAUCUAGCCAUGGGCAGGUUGAAGGUUGGGUAACACUAACUGGAGGACCGAACCGACUAAUGUUGAAAAAUUAGCGGAUGACUUGUGGCUGGGGGUGAAAGGCCAAUCAAACCGGGAGAUAGCUGGUUCUCCCCGAAAGCUAUUUAGGUAGCGCCUCGUGAAUUCAUCUCCGGGGGUAGAGCACUGUUUCGGCAAGGGGGUCAUCCCGACUUACCAACCCGAUGCAAACUGCGAAUACCGGAGAAUGUUAUCACGGGAGACACACGGCGGGUGCUAACGUCCGUCGUGAAGAGGGAAACAACCCAGACCGCCAGCUAAGGUCCCAAAGUCAUGGUUAAGUGGGAAACGAUGUGGGAAGGCCCAGACAGCCAGGAUGUUGGCUUAGAAGCAGCCAUCAUUUAAAGAAAGCGUAAUAGCUCACUGGUCGAGUCGGCCUGCGCGGAAGAUGUAACGGGGCUAAACCAUGCACCGAAGCUGCGGCAGCGACGCUUAUGCGUUGUUGGGUAGGGGAGCGUUCUGUAAGCCUGCGAAGGUGUGCUGUGAGGCAUGCUGGAGGUAUCAGAAGUGCGAAUGCUGACAUAAGUAACGAUAAAGCGGGUGAAAAGCCCGCUCGCCGGAAGACCAAGGGUUCCUGUCCAACGUUAAUCGGGGCAGGGUGAGUCGACCCCUAAGGCGAGGCCGAAAGGCGUAGUCGAUGGGAAACAGGUUAAUAUUCCUGUACUUGGUGUUACUGCGAAGGGGGGACGGAGAAGGCUAUGUUGGCCGGGCGACGGUUGUCCCGGUUUAAGCGUGUAGGCUGGUUUUCCAGGCAAAUCCGGAAAAUCAAGGCUGAGGCGUGAUGACGAGGCACUACGGUGCUGAAGCAACAAAUGCCCUGCUUCCAGGAAAAGCCUCUAAGCAUCAGGUAACAUCAAAUCGUACCCCAAACCGACACAGGUGGUCAGGUAGAGAAUACCAAGGCGCUUGAGAGAACUCGGGUGAAGGAACUAGGCAAAAUGGUGCCGUAACUUCGGGAGAAGGCACGCUGAUAUGUAGGUGAAGUCCCUCGCGGAUGGAGCUGAAAUCAGUCGAAGAUACCAGCUGGCUGCAACUGUUUAUUAAAAACACAGCACUGUGCAAACACGAAAGUGGACGUAUACGGUGUGACGCCUGCCCGGUGCCGGAAGGUUAAUUGAUGGGGUUAGCGCAAGCGAAGCUCUUGAUCGAAGCCCCGGUAAACGGCGGCCGUAACUAUAACGGUCCUAAGGUAGCGAAAUUCCUUGUCGGGUAAGUUCCGACCUGCACGAAUGGCGUAAUGAUGGCCAGGCUGUCUCCACCCGAGACUCAGUGAAAUUGAACUCGCUGUGAAGAUGCAGUGUACCCGCGGCAAGACGGAAAGACCCCGUGAACCUUUACUAUAGCUUGACACUGAACAUUGAGCCUUGAUGUGUAGGAUAGGUGGGAGGCUUUGAAGUGUGGACGCCAGUCUGCAUGGAGCCGACCUUGAAAUACCACCCUUUAAUGUUUGAUGUUCUAACGUUGACCCGUGAUCCGGGUUGCGGACAGUGUCUGGUGGGUAGUUUGACUGGGGCGGUCUCCUCCUAAAGAGUAACGGAGGAGCACGAAGGUUGGCUAAUCCUGGUCGGACAUCAGGAGGUUAGUGCAAUGGCAUAAGCCAGCUUGACUGCGAGCGUGACGGCGCGAGCAGGUGCGAAAGCAGGUCAUAGUGAUCCGGUGGUUCUGAAUGGAAGGGCCAUCGCUCAACGGAUAAAAGGUACUCCGGGGAUAACAGGCUGAUACCGCCCAAGAGUUCAUAUCGACGGCGGUGUUUGGCACCUCGAUGUCGGCUCAUCACAUCCUGGGGCUGAAGUAGGUCCCAAGGGUAUGGCUGUUCGCCAUUUAAAGUGGUACGCGAGCUGGGUUUAGAACGUCGUGAGACAGUUCGGUCCCUAUCUGCCGUGGGCGCUGGAGAACUGAGGGGGGCUGCUCCUAGUACGAGAGGACCGGAGUGGACGCAUCACUGGUGUUCGGGUUGUCAUGCCAAUGGCACUGCCCGGUAGCUAAAUGCGGAAGAGAUAAGUGCUGAAAGCAUCUAAGCACGAAACUUGCCCCGAGAUGAGUUCUCCCUGACUCCUUGAGAGUCCUGAAGGAACGUUGAAGACGACGACGUUGAUAGGCCGGGUGUGUAAGCGCAGCGAUGCGUUGAGCUAACCGGUACUAAUGAACCGUGAGGCUUAACCUUACAACGCCGAAGGUGUUU
rnacentral:rRNA from 1 species